rnacentral:lncRNA from 1 species
AUUAUUGUUGUUGUUGAAGCCUAUGAAACUACCAUGGAAGUUUGACUCCAUGCAAUACAGUACAUGAGUGCUAAGAAAUGCCCAAGGCUGCUGUCAAUCAAAUUAGCUGGGAACAUACGUGGAAUGAGGAGGAAGGGAGUGAAGAGGAAAAGCUUCAAGUGAUGAGAGUUCAUGCUGAGUAAGCCAUCUUACGGAAAAGAGGUGAAGGUUCAGCUUCAGUAAAGUCCACAGACGUGGAGCUAAGUUUAUUAGCACGUCUGUGCUGACUUCAGCAAAUGGCACAGAAAGAAAUGGAUCAAGCAUGAGUACUUAUGGUCACAAAGGUAAUAACAGCUAAAACAAGGAAUGUU